UGGUGGCUGAAUCGGUAAAGAAUCCACCUGCAGGGCAGGAGACCUGGGUUCAAUCCCUGGGUCAGGAAGAACCCCUGGAGAAGGGAAUGGCAACCCACUCCAGUAUUCUUGCCUGAAGAAUCCCAUGGGCAGAGGAACCUGGUGGACUACAGUCCAUGGGGUCGCAAGCAUUGGACACGACUUAACGACUAAACCACUUACCACCAUGGACAGUACUUUUCACCACUAGAAUUGUAAAUCUUUAGAUCUGCAGUAGCCCCUUAACUUCUCCCAUUUCUUUGCAGGAAGAAGUAAAGCAUCUCCUGAAGCAUGUGACCCUUUGGCCUUCUGAGUAACCCCAGUCCUGAAGGAUGUGGCCGACAGCCCAGGUGCCACGGUUUCCAAGUCCCGUGGAUGUCUUUGUCCACCUGCCAGGGCCUCGUCACCAUGGAAGAGGACGAUUGACUGAUGCGCUGGUUCCUGAGAUCAUGGGCAUCUGGUGGACUAAUACUGACCUCGCCAAUGUCACUGUAACAACUUUCCACAGAUAAGAUGAAAUUCAUUGUCCAUGUGAAACUAUUAUGCAAAAAAGUCUUCUGACCCCUGGCCUGGCUUAGAACAUCACUGGUUCUAAAGAUGUCCUGCAGUCCUCCAGAUCACUUACCAGCCUCCCACUGCUCCUUAGAGGUAAUUUCUACUCUAAAUUUUAGAUGAGCCUUUAUCUGGCUUACUAAGAAAAAAGUUUUAA
rnacentral:lncRNA from 1 species